CUCCAGCAGCCCCCAACCCGGCGCCCGCAGCAGCCGCUCCUCCAACGCGCGGCCCUCAGCCGCCACCACCGCCCACGCCGACGUCAUGGCUGCCUGGGGGGAGAGCGGGGGGUCAGCCCCAUAGCGGACCCACACACCCACUGUUGUGGGGCUCAGCCCCAUAGGGGACCCCACACACCCACUGCCGUGGGGCUCAGCCCCAUAGCGGACCCCACAGACCCACUGCCGUGGGGCUCAGCCCCAUAGGGGACCCCACAGACCCAUUGUUGUGAGGCUAAGCCCUAUAGGGGAUCACACAGACCCAUUGCCGUGGGGCUCAGCCCCAUAGCGGACCCCACACACACACUGCCGUGGGGCUCAGCCCCAUAGCGGACCCCACAGACCCAUUGUUGUGAGGCUCAGCCCUAUAGGGGAUCACACAGACCCACUGCUGUGGGGCUCAGCCCCAUAGCGGACCCCACAGACCCAUUGUUGUGGGGCUCAGCCCUAUAGGAGACGCUGGAGAGUCCCCAUUGGAGGGCUUCGGCCCUAUAUGAGGCUGUAGGGGUGCCAUGGGUGGGGCUCAGCCCUAUAGGGGACCCCACAGACCCAUUGUUGUGGGGCUCAGCCCCAUAGGGGACCCCACAGACCCACUGCUGUGGGGCUCAGCCCCAUAGGGGACCCCACACACCCACUGCCGUGGGGCUAAGCCCUAUAGGGGAUCACACAGACCCAUUGCCGUGGGGCUCAGCCCCAUAGCGGACCCCACAGACCCACUGCCGUGGGGCUCAGCCCCAUAGGGGACCCCACAGACCCAUUGUUGUGAGGCUAAGCCCUAUAGGGGAUCACACAGACCCAUUGCCGUGGGGCUCAGCCCCAUAGCGGACCCCACAGACCCACUGCCGUGGGGCUCAGCCCCAUAGCGGACCCCACAGUCCCACUGCCGUGGGGCUCAGCCCCAUAGGGGACCCCACAGACCCAUUGUUGUGAGGCUAAGCCCUAUAGGGGAUCACACAGACCCAUUGCCGUGGGGCUCAGCCCCAUAGCGGACCCCACACACCCACUGUUGUGGGGCUCAGCCCCAUAGCGGACCCCACACACCCACUGCCGUGGGGCUCAGCCCUAUAGGAGACCCCACAGACCCACUGCCGUGGGGCUCAGCCCCAUAGGGGACCCCACAGACCCGUUAUUGUGAGGCUCAGCCCCAUAGGGGACCCCACAGACCCACUGCUGUGGGGCUCAGCCCUAUAGGGGACCCCACAGACCCACUGCCGUGGGGCUCAGCCCUAUAGGGGAUCCCACAGACCCAUUCUUGUGGGGCUCAGCCCUAUAGGAGACGCUGGAGAGUCCCCAUUGGAGGGCUUCGGCCCUAUAUGAGGCUGUAGGGGUGCCAUGGGUGGGGCUCAGCCCUAUAGGGGACCCCACAGACCCAUUGUUGUGGGGCUCAGCCCCAUAGGGGACCCCACAGACCCACUGCUGUGGGGCUCAGCCCCAUAGCGGACCCCACAGACCCACUGCCGUGGGGCUCAGCCCCAUAGGGGACUCCAUAGACACAGUGUUGUGGGGCUCAGCCCUAUAGGGGACCCCACAGACCCACUGCCGUGGGGCUCAGCCCCAUAGUGGACCCCACAGACCCAUUGUUGUGAGGCUCAGCCCUAUAGGGGAUCACACAGACCCACUGCCGUGGGGCUCAGCCCUAUAGGAGACCCCACAGACCCAUUGUUGUGAGGCUCAGCCCUAUAGGGGAUCACACAGACCCACUGCCGUGGGGCUCAGCCCUAUAGGGGACCCCACAGACCCAUUGCUAUGAGGCUCAGCUCUAUAAGGGACCCCACAGAACCAUUCUUGUGGGGCUCAGCCCCAUAGGGGACCCCACAGACCCACUGCCGUGGGGCUCAGCCCCAUAGGGGACUCCAUAGACACAGUGUUGUGGGGCUCAGCCCUAUAGGGGAUCACACAGACCCGUUGCCGUGGGGCUCAGCCCUAUAGGGGACCCCACAGACCCACUGCCGUGGGGCUCAGCCCCAUAGGGGACUCCACAGACCCAUUGUUGUGGGGCUCAGCCCCAUAGGGGACCCCACAGACCCACUGCCGUGGGGCUCAGCCCCAUAGGGGACUCCAUAGACACAGUGUUGUGGGGCUCAGCCCUAUAGGGGAUCACACAGACCCACUGCCGUGGGGCUCAGCCCUAUAGCAGACCCCACAGACCCACUGCCGUGGGGCUCAGCCCUAUAGGGGACCCUACAGAC
rnacentral:lncRNA from 1 species